rnacentral:misc_RNA from 1 species
GCAAUUCACGGUGAGAGGCGCACGCGACGGGCUGGCAGCGCCAGAAUAUGUGUCCAGAGGCGUCGCCGCAUGCCAACCUCCGCCCUUGUACGGGCCGCGCCGAGUGCCGUGAGAAGGGGGAGCGAGGCCGCAGCCACAGCAGCAACCACACUUGUGCUCCUGUCUGUCAGCCCAUCUAGCGGUCGAUGCAGCGGGCCAGGCUCCAGGCCCACUGCUUCACACUCAGCGCGGGAGCUGCAAGCAAGGAGGAGGGGGGAGACACAGCCUCCAAUCACCGCACCUAUGGGGUGUAUGACCUCUUACGAAGCAUCGCAGUCGCUCCUGAUUUUUGUGUUUGCCUACACCGCGCCAUUCACCCAGAGCGGAGAAAAGGAGGCUCGAAAAAGUGUGAGAGUUGCUGCCUGCGCGCCGCUGUUUUUUCCUCGGCCGGGGUGCUUUCCUGCAGCCCGCCAGGGAGUGACGUGCUGAAGUGCACGAGAAUGCCGCACGUGUGGGAAGUGCGUGCGCGCGGAGCCCCGAAGCGGUCGAUGCCCGCAUACACGCGUGCGAGCCGCCGCUGUGCUUGGGCAACACCUUCAUUCGGCGCGUACGCCCCCGGCGCCAAAUACGCACGGCGGCCUCUCCGAGCGGGUCUCGGCCGUCUGCGCGCCAUUCGCCUACCCACGGUGGCCGCGGCCGCUUUGGGCACGAAGGUGGUGUCAACGGCCCUCCUGCCGUUGGCGCUGGCACCGUCCCGCCGCGCGGCGGCACCGCAAAGCAGCCGCCGUGCGAGCAGCGCCACGCCGAAAGGGCAGAGCAGACCCUCUGACAGACCCCGCUCGCGCGAGCACACCGCCCUACGCCUGGCAAGCCGAGCCCUGGCUCCUUUGAUGGCUCCUGCAACGUGCCGGCCAGUGUCGCGCAUGGGUUGGAGGUCUACGCCGGGAAGGCGGAAGGGGCAGCGAUCCUCCUCCGGGCACGCGCGUGCAACGAGCCGUGUCCCUCCCGGAAAUGGACAGUGAGCUUGGCCGCGUCGUGAACAGUUCGCACUGUGGUGGCGGCGGCCCAGUCGUAGAUGGACUCGUGGAGCACCAGCGCAACGCCCCCGACUAUGCGUUUGUGGUGUGCUGCAUCGAGGUGUCCGUAUCGCUUGCGCAGAUCAAGUAUUUGUUGUCGCGCCCAUCCAGCAGAGUAGCUCAAGUCUGGUUUAGUCGUUGUGUUUGUUACCGCACUGGGUUGUACGAUUCGGGAGCCGUUCUAGGAGCGUGAGGACCGAAUGCAACAUCGCUGGGUAUCUGAACGAGAACUUCCCGUGUUACCAGGACGGUCGUAGGUACGUAGUCGGGCCUGAGGGGUGCAUCCGUCGGAGGAGGGUCAUCUCAGCAAAGCCACACCGUCACUCCUGCAACCUCGUCCUGGCGAACAGAGGAGGGCCUAUUGCCUAUACGUGCAUCCUCGUGCAUGAGCAGGGAGAGGCCGCGGUCGUGCUUCUUUUCCCUCGCUACAUGGGAAUGCUGAAACGCCGAGAAAUGGCGUGCCGCACAGGCCUGUUGGGGUGUGUAUGGAGUGCAUCUCCAGCAGAAUGCAGACUUGUAUCGGGGGUGCACCAGGAAACGGGGCUAAGGACCCGCGCCAGCGUAGCCCAGCACAAUCUACCUGCAUUGCAUAGAGGGCGCAGUAGGUGGGAAAUCACGCUCGGCACCACUACAACGCACCAAAAGCUAACAAAGAGCAGGUGGAUGCGCACGCUUGUUGGAUUGCCGAGACGAUCUGUGGUGAGCUGUGGCACACCUGUGAUUAUGGCUGCGUGCCUCUUUAGGCACAGCGCCAGCCCAAGCCUGUCUGCUGGCACAAAGAGUCCAGAACCGUACUCAACGGCAGCCUGCAGGCUCUUGGCUUCCCCAGAAAGAGAGGGCAGUAGACCCUGAAGUGCCACAAACUGUGGUGUGCCCGGCCGGCAUCAGGGAAAGGAACACCCCGCGACUCGUAGAAGUCUUUCAGCAGCCUCACAUCUCGUUCAAUGCUCUCUCGCUUUUUGUUUCGCUCUCGUG